rnacentral:rRNA from 1 species
UUUUUUUUGAGGGUCGCUGGGGAGGUGCAGGUAGCUUGGUUCCCGUUUGGCCACAGUUUCGUCAUGGCUAGCAGAAAAGACCUGACCGGAGGCACGGCUCUAACCGGAGGAACGGCGGAGAUAGAGACUGGAGAAGAAGGUGGGGGCGAGGCCGGGGAGAGGGAGGGUAGAGGCCGCCGGUGCCGCCGGCCGCCACUCACCCACCCCCCGAGCCAAGAACACGGUAUACAUAUCAACAUCCUCAUCCUGAAAGGAGGUGUCAUUUGGUCUAGACUCCGGAAGAAAGAACGAAGCACCCUAGAAACAAAACCGGUAUGACUGACCUUAUUUCCAGUGGCCUCGACUGGUAUACGGACCUAGACAACGAGAAGGGGAUUUAUUUCCACACCUACUUCCAAGACCACACGAACUAAGCCUAAAAAGAAGAAGGGCUCAGCGAGAACAGAAGUACCUCUUCUCUUCUCUCCGUCUCCUCCACUUCUUACGGACCUAGACCGCAACAUACAGCACAUAGAGGGACUACACCUUUUCCUAGAAGGUGAGUAAAAGCUAAGGCCUACGGCGGUACCACCACCUAUUCCUCUUCCCCUCCUCGUCUCUCUACCUUUGUCGUCUACCCCACUCUCGAGUGAUAGCUACCACGAAAUCCGUUCCGAUGCCACGGGCACUAACCGUCGGCCGGAAAGAGCGGAGCGGUAGCUAAGAAGACCGGCUUUCCGCCGGUACCAAUAAGGAGGGCCGGAGCUACGGUUUCCCCUCCGUCCCGCUAGUUUAUGACCGUUAGUUGAUGUAUAGAAGUCGUAAAGUGACUUUUUUAUCCUGUUUGUUCGUUCUUAUGUGACUUCGUCAUAGUAGGUUCGUCGAGUUUCGUUCAGAGGUUCGUCGAGUUUCGUUCUAGUACGGCCCGUUGCUGGAGUGAUACGUACGGCAAUGACAGCCACCGCAGAAACAAAUGUACGUACUGUCUUCGUUGAAUGCCCCGUACUUCUUCUGUUAUUGACAACGUGCACGAACCAGGGUUCGAUUCGAUGCGGGCGGACUUAAUCUUUAACCGCUUCGCGCAAUAACAUAGUAGUGAAUACAGACUUAAUCUCAUAUACUAUUGGCAGAACGUUUGUUUUAUAAGUCAAAGAGACAAGGAUAUUCUUUUUAUCUUUUGGUCUUCGGUAGUCACACAUUACGGUAGAUAGUUGUGUUCCGGUAUUUAAAAUAAAUUGAAACUUAGGUCUAACAGGAUAAAUAAUCGUUUUUCUCAGAUAUAGGCCUUUUUCUUUAAAACAUAACCUUUUACCUAAACCUUUUGAAGUGUGGUCUUAUUACAUUUCGUCACAUAAAUUUAUUUGACGUCUCGCUACCUUUAUUAUCAUUUGAACUAUUUCUUUUUUAACUAAUUGUGUUACGAACAUUCUAUAGUGCUGUACGUUCCUUUUACGAAUGGAUUUAUAUUAUGUUUUAGGAUUUAAUCGACUCUCGUCCUCUGUUUGUAUAAUUCGAGUUGAAUUGCCCUUCUUAGUGAUACUUAUAAAGUUAUGUAUUAGAGUUCUAACAAUACGUUUUUGUAUUACCUCAUCGUAAAUUCGUACACCUUUAGUAGUAUGAUUAAUGUUCUCGUAUGGGACGUGGAGGAACUAGUGGUGCAGCUUGGAGUACGGAGCUGGUACCGUCGACCGUCGUGGACGGACCCCACACAGGUUCUACCAACCCUGUUAAAAGGUCAGGUACGACGGUCAGGUUC